rnacentral:lncRNA from 1 species
AAAGGAAAAAUCUUUGCUCAGUGGUACAGCAUUUUGCUACUUUGUCAAAGAUUAAUUGACUAUAUUUAUGUGAGUCUAUUUCUGGGAACUUAAUUCUGUUCCAUUGAUCUAUUUGUCUAUUCUUUUGCCAAUACCACACUGUCUUGAUUAGUGUAGCUUUAUAGUAAGUCUUAAAGUUGUCCAACUUUGUUCUCCUUCAAUAUUGUGUUGGUCAUGCUGGGUCUUUUGCCUCUUUAUGUAAACUUUAGAGUGACUUUGUUGAUAUCCAUAAUAUAAUUUGCUGAGAUUUUGAUAUUUUGAUAAGGAUUGCAUUAAAUCUAUAGAUUAAAUUGGGAAGAACAGACUUUCUUUCUUUCUUUCUUUCUUUCUUUCUUUCUUUCUUUCUUUCUUUCUUUCUUUAUUUUCUUUCGAGAGCCCAUGUGAUUACAGGAGGGGCAGAGGGAGAAAAAGAGAGAGAAUCCUAAGCAGGUUCCUUGCCCAGUGCAGAACCCAAUGUGGGGCUUAACAUGGGGCUCGAUCUCCCAACUGUGAGAUCAUGACUUGAGCUGAAAUCAAGAGUUGGACAUUUAACCAACUGAGCCACCCAGGCAUUCCAAGGGAAGAACUGACAUCUUGACAAUAGUAAAUCUUCCUAUCCAUGAACAUGGGAUCUCUCUCCAUUUAUUUAGUUCUUCUUUAAAAUUUUUUUUUUCAAUGUUUAUUUAUUUUUGGGACAGAGAGAGACAGAGCAUGAACGGGGGAGGGGCAGAGAGAGAGGGAGACACAGAAUCAGAAACAGGCUCCAGGCUCCGAGCCAUCAGCCCAGAGCCUGACGCGGGGCUCGAACUCACGGACCACGAGAUCGUGACCUGGCUGAAGUCGGACGCUUAACCGACUGCGCCACCCAGGCGCCCCAUCUUCUUUAAAUCUUCCUAUCCAUGAACAUGGGAUCUCUCUCCAUUUAUUUAGUUCUUCUUUUAUUUCAUUCAUCAAAGGUUAUAGUUUUUCUCAUCUAUAUCUUGUACAUAUUUUGUUAAACGUAUGCCUAAAUAUUUCAUUUUGGGGGGUGCUAAUAUAAAUGAUGUUGAAUUUUUAAUUUCAAAUUCCAUUUGUUCAUUGCUAGUAUAUAGGAAAGUGAUUGACUUUUGUAUAUUAACCUUGUAUAUCUUGUAACCUUGCUAAAAUUACUAGUUCCAGGAGCUUUUUUGGUCUGCCUUUCAGAUUUUUUUACAUAGAUGGUUAUGACAUCUGCAAAGGAAAACAAUUUUAUUUCUCCCUUCCAAAUCUGUACAUAUUUUAUUUUCUUUCCUUAUUGCAUUAGCUAGAAUUUCCUGUGUGAUGUUGCAAAAGAGUGGUGAGAAGGUGCAUCCUUUCUUUGUACCUCAUCUUAGUGGAAAAGGUUUAAGUUUCUCACCAUUAAGUAUGAUAUGAUAUGAUAUGAUAUGAUAUGAUAUGAUAUGAUAUUAUUAUAUUAUGAUAUUAUAUUAGCUCUAGUUUUUUUCCUUUAUCAAGUUAAGGAAAUUCCUAGUUUACUGAGAGUUUUUAUAAUGAAUGGGUGUUGGAUUUUGUCAAAAGCUUUUUCUGUAUCUAUUGAUAUGAUCAUGUGAUUUUUCUUUUUUAAUCUGUUGAUGUGACAGAUUAUAUUAAUCGAUUUUUGAGUGUUAAACCAGUCUUGCAUACUUGAGAGAGACCCCACUUGGUCAUUGUAUAUAAUUCUCUUUGUGCAUUGCUGGAUUCAAUUUGCUAAUAUUUUAUUGAGAAUUUUUGCAUCAAUUUUCAUGAGAGAUUUUGAUCUGUAGUUUUCUUUUCUUAUAAUAUCUUUACCUGGUUUUGAUAUAAGAGUAAUGCUGGCCUCGUAUAAUGAGUUAGGAAGUAUUUCUUCUGCUUCUAUCUUCUGAAACAGAUUGUAGAGAAUUGGUAUAAUUUCAUCCUUAAAUGUUUGGUAGAAUUUACCAGGGAAUCCAUCUGCGUCUGGUGCUUUCUGUUUUGGAAGGUUAUUAAUUAUUGAUUCAAUUUUUUUAAUGGAUAUAGGCCUAUUCACUUUGCCUAUUUGUUUUUGUGUCAGUUUUGGCAAAUUGGGUCUUUCAAGGAAUUGGUCCAUUUCAUCUAGGUUAUCAAAUGUGUGGGUAUAGAGUUGUUCAUAGUAUUCUUUUAUUAGCCUUUUAAUGUCCAUAGCAUCUGUGCUGAUGUACCCUCUUUCAUUUCUUUUCUUUUCUUUUCUUUUUCUUAUUUUAAAAUCUUUCUUUUUCAGGAGGCUUCAUGCCCAGUGGAAAACCCAAUGUGGAGCUUGAACUCAAGAUCCUGAGAUUAAGACCUGAGCUGAGAUUAAGAGUUGGAUGCUUAACCAGCUGACCCACCCAGCUGCCCCUCCCUUCGUUUGCUUCAGAUAUUAGUAAUCUGUGUCUUCGGUAUUCUUUUCAUAGUUAACCUGGCUAGAGGCGUACUGACUUACUGAUCUUUUCAAAUAACCAGUUUUGGCUUAAUUGACUUUGUGUAUUGAUUUCUUGUUUUCAUUUUCAUAGAUUUCUGCUCUAAUUUUUAUUAUUUAUUUUCCUCUGCUUACUUUGUAUUUAAUUUACUCAUCUUUUUCUAGUUUCAUAAGGUGGAUGCUUAAAUUACUAUUUUUUAAUUUUCUUCCUUCUAAUAUACACAUUCAAUAAAUUUCCAUUUAUGCACUACAUUCACUAUACCUCAUAAAUUUCAUGAGCUGGUUUUCAUUUUUAUUUAACCCAAAAUAGUAUCAAAUUAUUCUUGAGAUUUCUUCUUUGACCCAUGUCUUAUUUACAAGUGUAUUAUUUAAUCUUCAUGUAUUUUGAAAUUUUCC